CUGCUAACAUGUUUAACCCCGCUACAUUAUUAAUGUGUGUGCCUGUCCCAAGUCAGGAGCCUGUGGUUGUCGUUUGUUUAUGGUUAUACAUAUUUGUUUUCCGUUCAUUUUUUUUUUUUUUUUUUUUGACAUAAAUAAGGCCGUUAGUUUUCUCGUUUGAAUUGUUUUACAUAGUCUUAUCGAGGCCUUUUGUAGCUGACUAUGCGGUAUGGAAUUUGCUCAUUGUUGAAGGCCAUACGGUGACCUAUAGUGGUUAAUGUCUGUGUCAUUUUGCUCUUUUUUGGAUAGUUGUCUCAUUGGCAAUCAUACCACAUCUUCUUUUUUAUAUUAUAUAAUUAGAUAUGACUAUAAUUGUUUAACAAUCAACACAUUAACUAGUUUUUAACAAUUUUGUGCUUGAUUGGUGUCGAUCCAAUUUAUCGGAUUUUUACAUUUUGUGUUAUGUUUGAUGCUAUACACUCUGAUGUUCUAGAUUGAAGCAACAAUAUGGUUAGAUCCCGCCACUAUCUUUAUGCGACUGUUAAUACUUUGACGCCCUUUAAACCUGUGAUGGCUGUUUUCUGACAUAUUUCUUUUCUUAAUAUUACUUUUAC
rnacentral:lncRNA from 1 species